rnacentral:rRNA from 1 species
UACAGAGGUCCCAAGCGUUGUUCGGAUUCACUGGGCGUAAAGGGCGCGUAGGCGGGCUAUCAAGUCCGGGGUGAAAUCCUCCAGCUCAACUGGAGAACGGCCUCGGAUACUGAUGGUCUCGAGGGGGAUAGGGGCACGCGGAACUGUGGGUGGAGCGGUGAAAUGCGUUGAUAUCCAUAGGAACUCCGGUGGCGAAAGCGGCGUGCUGGAUCCCUUCUGACGCUGAGGCGCGAAAGCCAGGGGAGCAAACGGG